AACGAAGCAUAGGAGUGGAAUUUUUCGGAAGGAAACAACUAUGACUGAGUGGCGGACGGGUGAGUAACGCGUGGGUAACCUGCCUCAUACAGGGGGAUAACAGUUAGAAAUGACUGCUAAUACCGCAUAAGCGCACAAAACCGCAUGGUUUGGUGUGAAAAACUGAGGUGGUAUGAGAUGGACCCGCGUCUGAUUAGCUAGUUGGAGAGGUAACGGCUCACCAAGGCAACGAUCAGUAGCCGACCUGAGAGGGUGACCGGCCACAUUGGGACUGAGACACGGCCCAAACUCCUACGGGAGGCAGCAGUGGGGAAUAUUGCACAAUGGGGGAAACCCUGAUGCAGCAACGCCGCGUGAGUGAAGAAGUAUUUCGGUAUGUAAAGCUCUAUCAGCAGGGAAGAAGAGAGACGGUACCUGACUAAGAAGCCCCGGCUAACUACGUGCCAGCAGCCGCGGUAAUACGUAGGGGGCAAGCGUUAUCCGGAUUUACUGGGUGUAAAGGGAGCGUAGACGGCUUGAUAAGUCUGAAGUGAAAGGCCAAGGCUUAACCAUGGAACUGCUUUGGAAACUAUGAGGCUAGAGUGCUGGAGAGGUAAGCGGAAUUCCUAGUGUAGCGGUGAAAUGCGUAGCUCUUAGGGGAAACACCAGUGGCGAAGGCGGCUUACUGGACAGAAACUGACGUUGAGGCUCGAA
rnacentral:rRNA from 1 species